rnacentral:lncRNA from 1 species
GGGAAAAAAAUUACAUCAUUGAAAUUCAUCCAAAUGGAAAGUGAAAACUAUCUAUUCCGUUGUGUAAAAAUUAUCUUUACCAGAAUACUCUAUUGCAACACCGCUUCUGAAAACUGUAGGAACUUCAUCCACUCCAUAAUUCAUGUCAAAACUUCAAAAAAAUUAUAAGAAAACCAAAUUCUCAUCAUCAUAUAUACGUUUCACCAUUUCUGUUGACAAAUUCUUCAGUACAGUUUUCUUUAACACAUUCUUCCGCUUGUUAUAAUUAAAAUAUAUUUUUAAGCAAUUUUAACUUAGUCCAGAUUUUAUUUUAACAUGUAAACUGUAUGUUAUAUAUUAUUGGCUACGAAUUUUUCAACAGACUGAAAAGAAAAGCUGUGGAC